AAAACCCCUUGUGAACACGGGGAGAACAUGCAAACUCCACACAGAAAGGCCCGGGAGAUAGCCCACCUGAGCACUGAGGUCUGGGGAGGACCUGCCCCCCAGAGCCAUCAGCGCCCCAUGCGGGAAUCGAACACAGGACCUUCUUGCUGUGAGGCGGUAGUGCAAGCACCAGGGUUACCAGGCUGCCGGCGGACCUCACUGAACAAAACGGUUUUGAAGUUGUGGUCCUGGUCGCUGUGCAGGUCCUCAGGUCGGUAUGUGCCUGAAAUGGAGCAUAUCAUGGGAACAUCCUCAACAUCCCCAUCUCCA
ensembl:lncRNA